rnacentral:snoRNA from 1 species
GUUUUGCAUGAUGAGAAACUUUUCAAUCAUUAACAGUUAUCCCUGUCUGAAUGGGUACUAAUGGUAACACUCGCAUGUCGAUAAUCUAUACUCUGAGCAAACA